CUCUCAUUCUCCACUUACGCUAACUCAUGUGACCUCACGUGCAGCCCGCCCCGGGAGGCACGAUCACGAUCACUGCCCGCCUUCCGGCUGUGGCACUGAGGCCCAGGAAGAGGUGGACCGCCUCCGCCCUCGGGGCCGCCUGCCGCGGAGGACAGGCCGGGGAGACGCGGCCCGCAGAGCCGUGCGCUCGGCCGCCACUCAAGACGAACAGGGUCCGCCCGUGGCCGGGAGGGAGGCGCGGGCCCACGGCCCGGCGCCCGGCGCCCGCUCACCCCCGGCCGGUCCGGGGCACCCAGCGUGGGCGCUCGGGAGGCCGGCGCGCAGGCCGGCAGAGGGAGCUGAGCCCACGCGCCCCGCCCGGGCCGCGCCUCGCCCGCAACCCGCGCCGCCGCCCCAGGGACCGAGGCGCGUGCCAGGGCGGGCUGCGCAUGCGCGUGCGCACGGCGGGGCGCGGCGCGGCGUGUGCACGCGAGCCGGGGGCGGGCGGCGGCCGGGGGCGCAUGCGCACCGGGGCGCCGAGGCUGGAGGCGUGCCCGGCUCAGGAGAGCGGUGCUUUCGGUCCAGUCUGCUUCUCGCUGGCGGGCGCCGUAAGCAUCAGCGUCCCCGCAAGUUCCCACUUCGGCUGCGGGAAGCAGGAGUGUGUGCAGGGAACGGAACGCUCGGCUCCGCGGCGUGGAGUAGCAGAUAGAAGGAGCUCGGUCCGCAGGAGCGCGGUGGCGGCGGUGCGGAACUGCCGGCGCCGGCCCCGGAGCCCCCCGUGGUUUCUUAGGCCCGCCGUCGCCGGCUGUGCGGGGUUUUGUUUAACUGUUGGUGAAUAAGACUUCUAGUCCGAUGGUCCGGGUCCCAGCCCUGCCCACCCCUGGCUUUGAGCCAGGCACGUCUUAUUCCUGAGCUCUUUAUUCCCAUUGUUACAGCGGGCAGGGUGCGCCGCUGUUCAACACUGCACUUGUUAAAUCGAAGGAAACAGCCUGGCCGGUGGCUGACUCACGCGCGCGCUUGCAGCGGGUGCCACGGCCUGGGCCUGGCCUGGCUCACCUGCGGGGGGCCCAGUGAGGGACCAGACCUUGCAGUGAAAGGGGUAGCGUUGAAAGUGCGGUAGAGGACAGAGUGGAGGCCAGGCGUGAGUUCUGCGUGGCAGGAGGGGGAGUCCGCGCAGGUUCCACCCAGGAGAUGACCUCUAAACUGGGCCUUGAAGAUGAGGUGGCAGUGGGCCGCUCCUGGCAAAAGGGAUGCCUGAAAGCCUGCACGGGCCAUCGAUGUGUCUGGAGAGUUCUGAGAAUGGCUGCCAGACCAGUGUUGGGCGUGUGGGUAGACAGUAGGUGGGCUUGGAGGGGGACAGGGGGAAAGAGUGUGGAGGGCCCCCAGUGCCCCUGCAAGUGGUGAAAAGCUGCAGAGGGUCCUCAGGCAUGGAACUAACAACAGAUGUGUGUUUCAGUAAAGCGACUCUGGCAGGAACCAGAUAGGAAUUGUAUUUGUACAAAGGGGAUGUUGGAGGAAGGAAGUUAAUUUCAGCCCGGGGAGUGCAGUGGGGAUGGAGAUGGAAGCAGGAUUUAAGCAGGAUUUCAGAGAGAUUUUGGAGAUAGUCAACAGGCGUCACUGGCUACCCAUCACAGCUGAAUCUAAGAUGACUCCUACUUCUGGAGAACCAGGGGGACUGAGUCAUUAAGACAUUUGAGUUUCUGUGAAGUGCAGACCUUGUGCCAGGUGCUCAGCAUCCGAGAUAAAAAAGACCUAGUCUCUGCCCUUAAGGCGUUUGUCGUUGAAUCCAGGAGGUGGAUGCGUAACUAGGUGAUUAUAUCUCUGUACACGUGGUGACGAGCAUCACGUGUCCCUGCCUGAGCCUGAGGUGGGGUUGGGGCAGGGAGGGCUUCCCGAAGGAGGGAGGCCUGAGCGUCAGGGAAACUGGAAUUGCCAGGCAAUAUGAGCAUCUGAGGCACAGAAAGUGUGUGAGCAGGAAGGCCAGGCCGUUUGUGAUGUGUUUGGAGAGUUAGAAGCAGACACUGGAGUGGAGAGGAUCUCAUUGAGCCAGAGAGGAGCUGGCUCUCGGAGUUUAACGGUGUGGAUGCAAACUACUAGGGGUCUCAUGGGAGGAACCCAGGCCCAUGGGGCUUUGCCAGGAGCCUGCCUUCUCUCAACAUCCACACCCUCAUGAGCUCGGUGUGACCAUCCCGUUUUUACUGAUGGUGGGAUUGAGUGAGGCGGAGCGAGGUUAGAGCGACUCGCAGCCCUGGGAAGGCCGAAGCCCCCUGACCGAGUGUGUCGCUUGCUGGUCCUGGCCUUGGAGACUCAGGCGUGCUGGGUUCCAUGCGGUGGCCUGCUCAGUGCAUCCGGCCCGGAGAGUUGGCUGGAAGCAGCGUGUGAUCUGGUUUGAGUCCCCUGAGGGUGCCGGUGAAGAUGUGUGCCACGAGCCCACACUGCCUCCACAGUGGUGGCUGCCAAAACGAACAGCUGUGAAAUGACUUGUCGGGAAGGGUGUGACAGCGUGCUGGAAGAGAUUCGGCUCCCGGCCAAAUAACUUUACCACCUGAAGUCCCGGGCGGCUGUGUCGAGGGCCCCGCUGAGGCUGCCUGAGGACCCGAGCGCGUGGCCCACAGAGCCCCGCACGGUGCUCGCUGCGGACAGCGUGCUGCCCGGUCGUUGUGUGUGCGCCUCUGGGUACAUGCACAGUGUUCCCCCUGUAUGUGCAUUUAUGUGCGUAAAAGUAUAGCUACGUGCUGAAGUUUUUAUGAGUAAAAGGAGAAAAAAGGGGCCGGCCUGGUGGCGCAGCAGUGAAGUUCGCAUGUGCCACCUGGGUGCGGACAUGACACCGCUCGGCAAGCCAUGCUCUGGCAGGCGUCCCACAUAUAAAGUAGAGGAAGAUGGGCAUGGAUGUUAGGGCAUCUUCCUCAGCAAAAAGAGGAGGAUUGGCAGCAGAUGUUAGCUCAGGGCUAAUCUUCCUCAAAAAACAAAAAAGGAGAAGAAAAAGGGCAUGAGGGGGUGGGUAGAAAAGAUGGCAGCACGCUGGUGGUAAUUGAAGCUGGAUGAUGGCCACGUGGGAGUUCCGUCUACUCUUCUCUCUGCUUCUGUGUACAUUUGAAAAUUCUAAAAUAAAAAGGUCUAAAGAUAUGUAGAGUAUUUAAACAUUUGUUUAAGCCUUUGAUCCGCUCUCUACCCUCUGCGCCCAGCCUUGCCCAGACGCUGUGCUGGGCGUCUGGACGCUG
rnacentral:lncRNA from 1 species